rnacentral:lncRNA from 1 species
GGCGCACUAUGUAACUCCAUAUAAGGAGUCCCUCUCUGGAAUGUUGGCCUAUAUAUAUAUAUAGGCAAGUGCUCAAAUAAGAACCCCAACCAAUGUGAGAUAUGAGAUCUAAUCUCGGCCAUACAUUUUUAUCCCUUAAUUAAAUCACAACCACACAUUUAAAUAUAUAUUUUAUCCUUCAUCUCUUUCCUCCACCACUCUUACCCCACUCCUACCACCACCCAUCCACUACCAACACCACCCACCACCAUCACACACCAACCGCCCCAGUGUUUGCUUCACCUCCAGUAGUCACCUCACCGGAACACCACCACUAAUCUCUCUUUCUCCUUCUCCUUCCCGCCCCCCCUCUCUCAGCACGUCGUCGUUACCGGUACGGCCUGAGUUCCGGCCAUCCCUUCUCCUCACGUCUUCAUCUCUUUUCGUUGCCAUCGCGAUCUCUGUAAAAUGUGCUCAGAUUUGUAAAAGUUGUCGGUGGUGAUUUUUUAUUGUACAUCGGGUGAUCUUCUAUUGAUUCUUGUUGAUUUGUAUUGAUUUUUGGUCACUUUGACUUUUGCCCGGUGAUUAUGUGGCGGUGGUUGUGUUUAGAUGACAGUGGUGGUGUGAAGAUGGUGGUGGUGGCGGAGGAGGCAGGUGUGAUGAUUAAUGGUGGUGUGGUGGAUUUUGUUUAAUUAUGGUGAUUUUUACUGAGAUCUGGUGAUUUCUGCAUGGAUAUGGUGAUUUUCAGGCGGUGGUUGGUGGUAGUGGGCAGUGUGGUGACCUGAGGAGGUGGUGGUGUGGUGGUUUGCUUCUGGUGAUUUUAUGUUUGCAGCGGUAAUUUUUGACUUCCGGUUGCCGAAGGUGAUGGUCGAAAUAUGAAGAAGAUGAAGGUAGGUGAUGAGGAUGUGGGUAAAAUUAAUGAGUGAUGAUGGAUGUUGAU